CAGUCGCCGCGGGAAUACAGAGGGUGCGAGCGUUAAUCGGAUUUACUGGGCGUAAAGCGCGCGUAGGUGGUUUGUUAAGUUGGAUGUGAAAUCCCCGGGCUCAACCUGGGAACUGCAUCCAAAACUGGCAAGCUAGAGUAUGGUAGAGGGUGGUGGAAUUUCCUGUGUAGCGGUGAAAUGCGUAGAUAUAGGAAGGAACACCAGUGGCGAAGGCGACCACCUGGACUGAUACUGACACUGAGGUGCGAAAGCGUGGGGAGCAAACAGGAUUAGAUACCCGUGUAGUCCCUGUCUCUUAUAC
rnacentral:rRNA from 1 species